rnacentral:lncRNA from 1 species
AGGUCUUGCUGUAACAGCAUCAAUCUAUGAUGUUGCUAUGGACUGAAUAUUUUUAUCUCCUUAAAACUUCGUGUUGAAAUUUAACCUUUAGUACAACAGUAUUGGGAAUUAUGGUUUACCCUUCAUGAAUGAUAUUGGGUGCUUAAUGGAAUUGAGACUUGAUAAAAGGGGUUUGAUCAUUUUUUCCAUCCUUUCCUCCCUUGCACCACGUGGGAAUAUAGCAUUCCUCCCUCUGAAGGAUGCAGCAACACAGUACCAUGCUGGAAGCGCAAAGGAGCCCUCACCAGAACCUCUCAGUACCUUCUGUUGGACUUCACAGCCUCCAGAACUGCUUCUAGUCCGGACCUACUGAGCAAACCCUUCAGCUUUCUGACAUGGACACACACAGGACUCUACACUGAGCUCCAGACCUUCAGCCUUCAACUGGAUCCUCUGACUCUCCAGUUACAGAUGACGCUUUUGCUAUCUUCUACCCUUGACUCCACAGGCAGCCACUAUGAAAAAUGUGAUAGAAAUAAGAGACCCAGAGGAGAUCUGAUAUUCACUAAGCUAUGAAGGAGCAUAUUCCUGAGUCCCACUCAGCAAUCAAGAGACCUGGCUGUCUUGCUCUCCACUUUCUCCAGAAGACACCGCUACAGAGGCUUUUACUUAGGAAGGCCUUCCACCCAGACCUGC